rnacentral:rRNA from 1 species
AUUGAACGCUGGCGGCAUGCCUUACACAUGCAAGUCGAACGGUAACGCGGGGCAACCUGGCGACGAGUGGCGAACGGGUGAGUAAUGCAUCGGAACGUGCCCAGUAGUGGGGGAUAGCCCGGCGAAAGCCGGAUUAAUACCGCAUACGACCUACGGGUGAAAGCGGGGGACCGUAAGGCCUCGCGCUAUUGGAGCGGCCGAUGUCAGAUUAGGUUGUUGGUGGGGUAAAAGCCUACCAAGCCGACGAUCUGUAGCUGGUCUGAGAGGACGACCACCCAGACUGGGACUGAGGCGCGGCCCAGACUCCUACGGGAGGCAGCAGUGGGGAAUGUUGGACAAUGGGGGCAACCCUGAGCCAGCCAUGCCGCGUGCGGGAAGAAGGCCUUCGGGUUGUAAACCGCUUUUGUCAGGGAAGAAACGCUCUGGGCUAAUACCCCGGGGUAAUGACGGUACCUGAAGAAUAAGCACCGGCUAACUACGUGCCAGCCGCCGCGGUAACAC